CCAAUAUGACUAGGAAUCUCAU
rnacentral:siRNA from 1 species